AAGUUGAGUUUAGUAAGCCUUAUAGGGAUUCCUCCUUGAUACGCUCCCACGCCUCAUAAAGAGACUCCCCAUCUUUUUGAUUGAAACGCGUGAUUUGGUCUCUAAGCUU